UACGGAGGGUGCAAGCGUUAUCCGGAUUCACUGGGUUUAAAGGGUGCGUAGGCGGGCAGGUAAGUCCGUGGUGAAAUCUCUGAGCUUAACUCAGAAACUGCCAUGGAUACUAUUUGUCUUGAAUAUUGUGGAGGUAAGCGGAAUAUGUCAUGUAGCGGUGAAAUGCUUAGAUAUGACAUAGAACACCAAUUGCGAAGGCAGCUUACUACACAGUUAUUGACGCUGAGGCAUGAAAGCGUGGGGAUCAAACAGG
rnacentral:rRNA from 1 species